CAUUAAGAAGCUAUGCUACAGCACUAGCCUUUUAAGCUAGAAAAAGAGGUAUUACUUCCUCCUUAAUGA
rnacentral:tRNA from 1 species